UACGGAGGAUGCAAGCGUUAUCCGGAAUGAUUGGGCGUAAAGCGUCCGCAGGUGGCUGUGUAAGUCUGCUGUCAAAGAGCGAAGCUCAACUUCGUAAAGGCAGUGGAAACUACACGGCUAGAGUGCGUUCGGGGCAGAGGGAAUUCCUGGUGUAGCGGUGAAAUGCGUAGAGAUCAGGAAGAACACCGGUGGCGAAGGCGACAUCCUGGACCGGUAUUGACGCUGAGACGCGAAAGCGUGGGGAGCGAACAGG
rnacentral:rRNA from 1 species